AUUUAUAUAGUAUAUAAGUAUAUUUGACUUCCAAUCAAAAGGACUAAAUAAAUUUAGUAUAAAUAAUUAUAAUA
rnacentral:tRNA from 1 species